rnacentral:rRNA from 1 species
AGUGAACGCUGGCGGUAGGCCUAACACAUGCAAGUCGAACGGCAGCACAGUAAGAGCUUGCUCUUACGGGUGGCGAGUGGCGGACGGGUGAGGCAUACAUCGGAAUCUACUUUUUCGUGGGGGAUAACGUAGGGAAACUUACGCUAAUACCGCAUACGACCUACGGGUGAAAGCAGGGGAUCUUCGGACCUUGCGCGAUUGAAUGAGCCGAUGUCGGAUUAGCUAGUUGGCGGGGUAAAGGCCCACCAAGGCGACGAUCCGUAGCUGGUCUGAGAGGAUGAUCAGACACACUGGAACUGAGACACGGUCCAGACUCCUACGGGAGGCAGCAGUGGGGAAUAUUGGACAAUGGGCGCAAGCCUGAUCCAGCCAUACCGCGUGGGUGAAGAAGGCCUUCGGGUUGUAAAGCCCUUUUGUUGGGAAAGAAAAGCAGCAGGUUAAUACCCCGCUGUUCUGACGGUACCCAAAGAAUAAGCACCGGCUAACUUCGUG